rnacentral:rRNA from 1 species
GAUUAACGCUGGCGGCGUGCCUAACACAUGCAAGUCGAGCGCCCCUUCGGGGAGGCGGCGGACGGCUGAGUAACACGUUGGUACCUCGCCCGAACUACGGGAAGUAAGCACUGGAAACGGUGUCUAAUGCCCGAUAGUCUCCUUGGAGUAAAGCUUUUGUCGGUUCGGGAGGGGCCUGCGCGGGAUUAGUUUGUUGGUGAGGUAACGGCUC